GACGAACGCUGGCGGCGUGCUUAAUACAUGCAAGUCAACUGAACUUAAGAUAGCAAUAUUUUAAGGGAGGUGGCGCACGGGUGAGUAACACGUAGGUAAUCUGCCUUUAGGUCUGACACAACCCCGAGAAAUCGGGGCUAAUAUCAGAUGAUGCAGCGGCUCGACAUCGAGACAGUUGUUAAACCUUCGGGGCCGUAAAGAUGAGCCUGCGUCUGAUUAGGUAGUUGGCGGAGUAAAAGCCCACCAAGCCUGCGAUCAGUAGCUGGUCUGAGAGGAUGAUCAGCCACACUGGAACUGAGACACGGUCCAGACUCCUACGGGAGGCAGCAGUAAGGAAUAUUGCUCAAUGGCCGAAAGGCUGAAGCAGCAACGCCGCGUGGAGGAUGAAAUACUUUUGUAUGUAAACUCCUGUAAGAAGGGAAAAUAAACAGAUUUUCUGUGUUGAUUGUACCUUCAGAGUAAG
rnacentral:rRNA from 1 species